AUGUACAUUCCUACAAUGUUAAUGCACCAUAUCCCAUCAUAACUCUGUAGUUAAGCACACUUGGGAUAGAUUAGUGCUAGGACGAGGGACCUUCCCAAGAAGUCCCAAUGUUUUACAUG
rnacentral:rRNA from 1 species